rnacentral:lncRNA from 10 species
UCCAGCUUUGGCUUGGCAUGAGAGGGAGACCGUGGAAAGGGGAGGAGAGAGGGGAGAGGGGAGACGGGAGAGGGGAGAGGGGAGGGGAGAGGGGAGGGGAGCCGGAGUCACUCUUGUUCGAACGCCUCCAACACUAUGACUAAGUAAAGGAGAAUUUCUGUUGUUGAUUUUAAAAUUAUUCUAUAUGGUGUAUCUAUUAACAUUUAUGCGGAUUUCCAUAUUUUUAUAUUCUAUAAAAGUACUUUAAAGGUUUUGUGUACCAUCAUUUUGUUAGUUUGUUUUGUUUUGUUUUGAAUCGAGUCUUGCCCUAUUGCUUAGGACGGAGUGUAUAGAUGUGAUCUUAGCUCACUGAAACCUCGGCCUCCCAGGUUCAACAAUUAUCCUGCCUCUGCCUCCCUAGUAGCUGGGAUUACAGAUGCCUGCCACCAAGCCUGGCUAAUUUCUUGUAUUUUUUAGUAAAGAUAGGCUUUCACUAUGUUGGACAGGCUGGUCUUGAACUGCUGACCUCAGGUGAUCCACCUGCCUCAGCCUCUCAAAGUGCUGGGCUUACAGGUGUGAGCCACAGCACCCAGCUGGAAAUUACUUUUUAUCUCACUAUUCAUAGCAUUUCAUAUCAAUACAAAGAUUGACACAUCUAGAUAUAAAUAUACAUAGGGAGAUAAAUACUCACAUAGAGAAUUCU